UGCAGUAAUAGAGAUACUAGAAGGUUGAUAAGGGGAAUUUGGGAUAAAUGAGACAAAUCUAUUUUCUGGAGUAACUAUAGGCACAUGACAGUUGAAACUAGGACAAACUUGUGGUGAUGAAACUGUGUUGUAAGAUGUAGUCAAUAAUUCUGUGUAGGGAAAAUGUUGUUCAUAAAAAAUAACAUGCCUAGAAACAAACACUUUAUUUGUAGACACAUGAUAGCACAGAUAGCCUUUAUAUUUUGGCAUACCCAAGACACACACACUUUGUGGUUUUAGCUUGUAAUUUGGUACUAUUAUUGUUGGAAGUAUGCCCACAAAGCCACUCAUUUGAUGUAAUAGCUUUUUGGAAUACUUAAUGUAUUAAACUUUUAUAUGUUUAAUGAAGGGCAAAGCUUAUUGUUAAUCACUAUUUAUUGUAUCAUGUGCUUAAGUAAUAAGGGAAUCCAAGGGAUGUAUUUGAUCUAAGAGACAAGUGAUCUAAGUGAGUUAG
rnacentral:lncRNA from 1 species